AUUUCGAAAAUGAGACAAAAGUUUAAGUUACAAAGAAAAUGGAGCGUUUCCUUUUUGGAAAAUGCACUGCUGCACGAAAAAUAGCAGAACUAAUAAAAUUACAAACAUGUGGUCGUCAAUUUCCGAAUUUCGUCUGGUGUCGCGGUUCUGCUUCUGCAUGCUCUCCAGUCCCCACUCCAUGCUGUUCAGCAGCCCCCUGUAGAUGCAUUGCAGUUUAUUUGCACGGAACCCUUUUUGCAGAUUUGAGGUCUGGAGCCAGCCAUUAUAACCAUAAGAUCUGCCAGUUUUGCUUCUGUUGGUCAUUGACCUGUCACCAACAAUAACAAUCUCAGUAUAACUUGGAUAAACAGCAUCCUGUUUCAUUGGAAAACUCCCGAUGUCGGUAGUUCCCCUUUCUAUAAAUUCA